rnacentral:rRNA from 1 species
CCUACGGGUGGCAGCAGUGAGGAAUAUUGGUCAAUGGACGAGAGUCUGAACCAGCCAAGUAGCGUGAAGGAUGACUGCCCUAUGGGUUGUAAACUUCUUUUAUAAAGGAAUAAAACGAGGCACGUGUGCCUUUUUGCAUGUACUUUAUGAAUAAGGAUCGGCUAACUCCGUGCCAGCAGCCGCGGUAAUACGGUGGAUCCGAGCGUUAUCCGGAUUUAUUGGGUUUAAAGGGAGCGUAGAUGGGUUGUUAAGUCAGUUGUGAAAUUUUGCGGCUCAACCGUAAAAUUGCAAUUGUUACUGGGAGUCUUGAGUACAGGUGAGGGAGGCGGAAUGCGUGGUGUAGCGGUGAAAUGCUUAGAGAUCACGAAGAACCCCGAUUGCGAAGGCAGCUUACUAAACUGUGACUGACAUUGAUGCUGGAAAGUGUGGGUAUCAAACAGGAUUAGAGACGCAAGUAGUC